GUGCUCACUUGGGCAGCACAAAUACCAAAAUUGGAAUGAUGCAGAGAUUAGCAUGGCCCCUGCUCAAGGAUGACACUCAGAUUCAUGCAGCAUUCUAUAUUUUU